UACAGAGGUCCCGAGCGUUGUUCGGAUUCAUUGGGCGUAAAGGGCGCGUAGGCGGCCAGCACAAGUCAGUUGUGAAAUCUCCGAGCUUAACUCGGAAAGGUCAACUGAUACUGUGCGGCUAGAGUGCAGAAGGGGCAACUGGAAUUCUCGGUGUAGCGGUGAAAUGCGUAGAUAUCGAGAGGAACACCUGCGGCGAAGGCGGGUUGCUGGGCUGAUACUGACGCUGAGGCGCGAAAGCUAGGGGAGCGAACGGG
rnacentral:rRNA from 1 species